rnacentral:tRNA from 1 species
GGGGUUGUGGCUCAGUGGUAGAGCACUUGCCUAGCAUGCAUGAGGCCCUGAGUUCGAUCCCCAGGACCACA